UACGAAGGGGGCUAGCGUUGCUCGGAAUCACUGGGCGUAAAGGGUGCGUAGGCGGGUCUUUAAGUCAGGGGUGAAAUCCUGGAGCUCAACUCCAGAACGUGCCUUUGAAACUGUUUAGCUUGAGGACGAGAGAGGUGAGUGGAAUUCCCAGUGUAGAGGUGAAAUUCGUAGAUAUCGAGAGGAACACCUGCGGCGAAGGCGGGGUUGCUGGGCCGACACUGACGCUGAUGCGCGAAAGCCAGGGGAGCGAACGGG
rnacentral:rRNA from 1 species